UACGUAGGGUGCGAGCGUUGUCCGGAAUUAUUGGGCGUAAAGAGCUCGUAGGCGGUUUGUCGCGUCUGCCGUGAAAGUCCGGGGCUCAACUCCGGAUCUGCGGUGGGUACGGGCAGACUAGAGUGAUGUAGGGGAGACUGGAAUUCCUGGUAUAGCGGUGAAAUGCGCAGAUAUCAGGAGGAACACCGAUGGCGAAGGCAGGUCUCUGGGCAUUAACUGACGCUGAGGAGCGAAAGCAUGGGGAGCGAACAGG
rnacentral:rRNA from 1 species